rnacentral:rRNA from 1 species
GCUCAGGGUGGCGAGGUUGUCGUGCUCCGUCGGGGUUCAGCUGGCGGCAGUUGGGUUGCUGACUGCUGCCGGUGCUCUCUUCGGUGGAGUUUGACCGUCAGUUGGGAAGAGAUUUGGGUCCUGUUUUAUCGGUGGUCGGGAGGUAAGCCUUGCGGUUCCUUCGGGUUCCCAGGGUGACNUACAGCCGUUCCGCCGUGGUCCCGAUCGUCUUUCAGGUGCGUUGGAUGUCUUUUCGUCCGGAAUGGGAAGGUGCAGGCUCCCCUCGUGGGAGUUCGGGCCGGCGCUGGAGUUGCUUCNCCGUGCUGAACCGUGUUCCGUACCCUUUCCGUUUUCGCUUCGGCUGGCGGGAAGGAGUGCGGCACGGCCGGCACGUGUUGUCGCCUCGCAGUGUCGCGUUCAAGU